GGACGCCUCUCCUAUUAUUUUAUUUGCCUUUGCUUUUCUACAGUUUAAUACUUUUCCUGCUGACUAUCUCAUGGCUGCUGCUUAGCUCUGCUCAGGUUCUGCUGUAUCUCAGUGCUGCCUUUGCAGCUUUCCCCAAACCCUCUGGAUGUGCAGAUCCCCAGAGCUCACCUUGUGCAGGGCCCAUGGGCCUGGGGGGGAACUGGGCGANUAUUUCCCAGAUCCCAGGAAAUCUCUCAUUGUGAUAUUUCCCGGAUCCUAGGAAAUCUCACAGCAUUCCCAUCAUUGUGAUAUUUCCCAGAUCCCAGGAAAUCUCACAGCAUUCCCAUCCAUCCUGGAUCCCAGGAAAUCUCACAGCAUUCCCACCAUUGUGAUAUUUCCCAGAUCCCAGGAAAUCUCACAGCAUUCCCAUCAUUGUGAUAUUUCCUGGAUCCCAGAAAAUAUCACAGCAUUCCCAUCCAUCCUGGAUCCCAGGAAAUCUCACAGCAUUCCCACCAUUGUGAUAUUUCCUGGAUCCCAGGAAAUCUCACAGCAUUCCUGUCAUUUUGAUAUUUCCUGGGAAAAUCCUCUUUGCCCAGGAUUGCUUCUCCUGAGCAGCCUCAGAGAAAAAUGUGAAUAACAAUUAUCUGAUUGUUUCUCCUGUGUUUUGCUGCUCUGCAAUGUGUUUGGAGAUUGGUUACCAAUAGGGGAAUGUUUGAUUGGUUUCGUUUAGAAUUGUUUUUAAUUAAUGACCAAUCACCAUCAUGAGGAGCCAGAGUUUGUGUGGGGAUCCCAGGGAAUAUCACAGCAUUCCUGACAUUGUGAUAUUUCCUGGAUCUCAGAAAAUCUCACAGCAUUCCCAUAAUUGUGAUAUUUCCUGGGAAAAUCCUCUUUGCCCAGGAUUGCUUCUCCUGGAAAAUUGAGAAGCAUCACAGAAAAAUGUAAAUAAUAAUUAUCUGAUUUUUCUCCUGUUUUUUGCUGCUUUGGAACAAGGUCUGGAGAUUCUUUACCAACAUGUUUGAUUGGUUUCAUGAGAAUUGUUUUUGAUUAAUGACCAAUCACCAUCCAGCUGUGUCAGGACUCGGGAAGGAGUCACAGGUUUUUAUUAUCAUUCUUUGUAACCUUCUGUGUGUAUCCUUGCUCUAUUCUUUAGCACAGUUUAGUAUAGCAUUCUAUAAUAUAAUGUAAUAUAAUG
rnacentral:lncRNA from 1 species